AACGAACGCUGGCGGCAUGCCUAACACAUGCAAGUCGAACGAGACCUUCGGGUCUAGUGGCGCACGGGUUCGUAACGCGUGGGAACCUGCCCUUAGGUUCGGAAUAACUCCCCGAAAGGGGUGCUAAUACCGGAUAAUUUCUUCGUACCAAAGAUUUAUCGCCUUUGGAUGGGCCCGCGUUGGAUUAGCUAGUUGGUAGGGUAAAAGCCUACCAAGGCGACGAUCCAUAGCUGGUCUGAGAGGAUGAUCAGCCACACUGGGACUGAGACACGGCCCAGACUCCUACGGGAGGCAGCAGUGGGGAAUAUUGGACAAUGGGCGAAAGCCUGAUCCAGCAAUGCCGCGUGAGUGAUGAAGGCCUUAGGGUUGUAAGGCUCUUUUACCCGGGAUGAUAAUGACAGUACCGGGAGAAUAAGCUCCGGCUAACUCCGUG
rnacentral:rRNA from 1 species